GGACUACUCGGGUUUCUAAUCCCGUUCGCUACCCACGCUUUCGUGUUUCAGUGUCAGGAAUGCGCCAGUCUAUUGCCUUCGCUUUUGGUGUUCCCCAUGAUAUCAACGGAUUUCACCCCUACUCCAUGAGUUCCAUAGACCCCUCGCAUCCUCAAGCAAUGCCGUUUCCUCUGCAGACCCCCGGUUAAGCCGAAGAAUUUGACAGAAGACUAACAUCGCCACCUACACACCCUUUACGCCCAAUGAUUCCGGAUAACGCUUGGGGCACUCGUAUUACCGCGGCUGCUGGCAC
rnacentral:rRNA from 1 species